GAAACAAACGUCAAAAGAAAAAUUUAUUGAAUUGAUUGAAAUACGUGCGUGAAAAUAAACAAGCUAUGGAUGACGAGAAAUUGAUUGCUUUUGUUGAGCAUAAAACCGAGUUGUUUAAUAAGAGCAGUCCAUAUUACAAGCUGCAAACACGGCGCCAUUGAAAUAAACGUCAAAAGAAAAAUUUAUUGAAUUGAUUGAAUUACGUGUGUGAAAAUAAACAAGCUAUGGAUGACGAGAAAUUGAUUGCUUUGGUUGAGCAUAAAACCGAGUUGUUUAAUAAGAGCAGUCCAUAUUACAAGCUGCAAACACGGAAAGAUGCCUUCUGGUCUGAAAUCGGGAGGGAGUUGAACGCAAGAGAAAUGUGUCGCCGUAGAUGGGUGACACUCCCGGAUCGCUACGGGAGGGAAGUACGGAAGGCUAACGCCCCCAGUGGCAGCGGGAUGGAGUAUCAAACACAGUGGCAUUUGAAGUGAAGUGGCGAUGAAGUUCCUCAAGCCACAUAUUGUACCACGGCCGGUUAGGUUCUCACAAAAUAUUUGUGAAACUGUAGUCACCAAUCAGGUUCAUGAACAUGCGCAGGAGGUGGAAGUGCCAUCACCGCUAUGGCCCUUAUCACCUACUAUAAGUCCAAUUGAAAUAUUGCUGCAGUCGCCAUCGCCUCCUAUCGCCGUGGAGCCAUCCCCGACUCCUUCCGUAUCCACCUCGCUUCCCUCACCUUCCUGGAAGCGAUCGAGUUGUUUAAAAAUAAAUGGUCAACACAACCAACUCAACAGAUCCAACAACAACAAUCAACAAGUCCGGCUGUGCAAUCAUUUAGCAAUUUAAUCGUGUCCAUUUUAAAUAAAAUGGACGACGAAAAAUAAACGAGGGCUAUCGAGAAAAUGCUGCAAGCUGCGUUUGAAGUGCAGAGAGGAGAUUACUAAUAACAUGUUAAGUUAAUUUAAUAUAGAAUAUAUGUAUAAAUGAAGUAUUUAUUUUUAAAUUAUUAUUUUAGUUUUAUUAAAAUUAAUUAAUUUGUUAUGUAAAUAAUU